AGAGUUUGAUCCUGGCUCAGGAUGAACGCUAGCGACAGGCUUAACACAUGCAAGUCGAGGGGCAGCGGGGGUAGCAAUACCGGGUGGCGACCGGCGCACGGGUGAGUAACGCGUAUGCAACUUACCUAUCAGAGGGGGAUAACCCGGCGAAAGUCGGACUAAUACCGCAUGAAGCAGGGGCCCCGCAUGGGGAUAUUUGCUAAAGAUUCAUCGCUGAUAGAUAGGCAUGCGUUCCAUUAGGCAGUUGGCGGGGUAACGGCCCACCAAACCGACGAUGGAUAGGGGUUCUGAGAGGAAGGUCCCCCACAUUGGUACUGAGACACGGACCAAACUCCUACGGGAGGCAGCAGUGAGGAAUAUUGGUCAAUGGGCGUAAGCCUGAACCAGCCAAGUCGCGUGAGGGAUGAAGGUUCUAUGGAUCGUAAACCUCUUUUAUAAGGGAAUAAAGUGCGGGACGUGUCCCGUUUUGUAUGUACCUUAUGAAUAAGGAUCGGCUAACUCCGUGCCAGCAGCCGCGGUAAUACGGAGGAUCCGAGCGUUAUCCGGAUUUAUUGGGUUUAAAGGGUGCGUAGGCGGCCUUUUAAGUCAGCGGUGAAAGUCUGUGGCUCAACCAUAGAAUUGCCGUUGAAACUGGGGGGCUUGAGUAUGUUUGAGGCAGGCGGAAUGCGUGGUGUAGCGGUGAAAUGCUUAGAUAUCACGCAGAACCCCGAUUGCGAAGGCAGCCUGCCAAGCCAUGACUGACGCUGAUGCACGAAAGCGUGGGGAUCAAACAGGAUUAGAUACCCUGGUAGUCCACGCAGUAAACGAUGAUCACUAGCUGUUUGCGAUACAGUGUAAGCGGCACAGCGAAAGCGUUAAGUGAUCCACCUGGGGAGUACGCCGGCAACGGUGAAACUCAAAGGAAUUGACGGGGGCCCGCACAAGCGGAGGAACAUGUGGUUUAAUUCGAUGAUACGCGAGGAACCUUACCCGGGUUUGAACGCAUUCGGACCGAGGUGGAAACACCUUUUCUAGCAAUAGCCGUUUGCGAGGUGCUGCAUGGUUGUCGUCAGCUCGUGCCGUGAGGUGUCGGCUUAANNNNNNNNNNUCGACCGCUCUGGAAACAGAGCCUCUAGCAAUAGCGAUUUGCGAGGUGCUGCAUGGUUGUCGUCAGCUCGUGCCGUGAGGUGUCGGCUUAAGUGCCAUAACGAGCGCAACCCUUGCCACUAGUUACUAACAGGUGAUGCUGAGGACUCUGGUGGGACUGCCAGCGUAAGCUGCGAGGAAGGCGGGGAUGACGUCAAAUCAGCACGGCCCUUACAUCCGGGGCGACACACGUGUUACAAUGGCGUGGACAAAGGGAGGCCACCUGGCGACAGGGAGCGAAUCCCCAAACCACGUCUCAGUUCGGAUCGGAGUCUGCAACCCGACUCCGUGAAGCUGGAUUCGCUAGUAAUCGCGCAUCAGCCAUGGCGCGGUGAAUACGUUCCCGGGCCUUGUACACACCGCCCGUCAAGCCAUGGGAGCCGGGGGUACCUGAAGUCCGUAACCGCGAGGAUCGGCCUAGGGUAAAACUGGUGACUGGGGCUAAGUCGUAACAAGGUAGCCGUACCGGAAGGUGCGGCUG
rnacentral:rRNA from 1 species